rnacentral:rRNA from 1 species
AAAUUUCCAACGUCUAACACACAUCGUUUACGGCAUGGACUACGAGGGUAUCUAAUCCUCUUCGCUACCCAUGCUUUCGUUCCUCAGUGUCAGUAAUGAUCCAGAAAGCUGCCUUCGCAGUUGGUAUUCUUUCUAAUAUCUACGAAUUUCACCUCUACACUAGAAAUUCUGCUUUCCUCUAUCAUACUCUAGCUGAAAAGUUUUGAUGGCAGUUCCAGAGUUAAGCUCUGGGAUUUCACCACCAACUUUUUCAACCACCUACGAACUCUUUAAGCCCAGUAAUUCCGAACUACGCUAGGUCCCUUCGUAUUACCGCGGCUGCUGGCACGAAGUUAGCCGGACCUUCUUAUUCGGGUACAGUCAUUUUCUUCCCCGACGAAAGAGCUUUACAACCCAAAGGCCUUCUUCACUCACGCGGCAUCGCUGCAUCAGAGUUUCCUCCAUUGUGCAAGAUUCCCCACUGCUGCCUCCCGUAGGAGUUUGGGCCGUGUCUCAGUCCCAAUGUGGCUGAUCAUCCUCUCAAAUCAGCUAUAGAUCACAGUCUUGGUAGGCCAUUACCCCACCAACAAACUAAUCUAGUGCGGGCUCAUCCAAUGGUGCAUAAAGCUUUCUCCGUAAAGACUUAUCCGGUAUUAGCACAAGUUUCCUCGUGUUAUUCCAGGCCAAAGGGUAGAUACCCACAUGUUACUCACCCGUCUGCCACUAAGUAUUGCUACUUCGUUCGACUUGCAUGUGUUAGGCGUGCCGCCAGCGUACGUUCUGAGCCAGGAUCAAACUCU